rnacentral:rRNA from 1 species
AAACUAACAAGGAUUCCCCUAGUAGCGGCGAGUGAAGCGGGAAGAGCUCAAAUUUGUAAUCUGGCGUCUUUCAGGCGUCCGAGUUGUAAUCUAUAGAAGUGUUUUCCGUGCUGGACCAUGUCCAAGUCCCUUGGAACAGGGUAUCAAAGAGGGUGACAAUCCCGUACUUGAUAUGGCCACCAGUGCUCUGUGAUACACUUUCUACGAGUCGAGUUGUUUGGGAAUGCAGCUCAAAAUGGGUGGUAAAUUCCAUCUAAAGCUAAAUAUUGGCGAGAGACCGAUAGCGAACAAGUACCGUGAGGGAAAGAUGAAAAGCACUUUGGAAAGAGAGUUAAACAGUACGUGAAAUUGUUGAAAGGGAAACGAUUGAAGUCAGUCGUGUUCAUUGGACUCAGCCGGUUCUUCCGGUCUAUUUCCUUUGAACGGGUCAACAUCAGUUUUGUCCGGUGGAUAAAGGCAGAGAGAAAGUGGCUCCCUCGGGAGUGUUAUAGCUUUUUGUCACAUACACUGGAGGAGACUGAGGACUGCAGCUCGCCUUUUGGCCGGGGUUCGCCCACGUCGAGCUAGGAGGUGACAAAUUC